rnacentral:rRNA from 1 species
AACGCUGGCGGCGUGCCUAACACAUGCAAGUCGAACGCGAAAGGGGCUUCGGUCCUGAGUAGAGUGGCGAACGGGUGAGUAACGCGUGGGUGAUCUACCUUCGAGUGGGGGAUAACGUUCCGAAAGGGACGCUAAUACCGCAUGACGUUCUGGGUUUAAAGACCUGGAAACCAAAGCUGGGGACCGCAAGGCCUGGCGCUUGAAGAGGAGCCCGCGUCCGAUUAGCUAGUUGGCGGGGUAACGGCCCACCAAGGCGCCGAUCGGUAGCCGGCCUGAGAGGGCGGACGGCCACACUGGGACUGAGACACGGCCCAGACUCCUACGGGAGGCAGCAGUGGGGAAUUGUUCGCAAUGGGCGCAAGCCUGAUGACGCAACGCCGCGUGGGGGAUGAAGGUCUUCGGAUUGUAAACCCCUGUCGAAUGGGACGAAAGACUCGCAAGUUAAUACUAUGCGAGAGUGACGGUACCGUUAAA